UACGGAGGGUGCGAGCGUUGUCCGGAUCAUUGGGCGUAAAGGGCGCGUAGGUGGCCCGGUCAGUUCGUGGUGAAAGCGCGGGGCUCAACCCUGCGUCGGCCAUGAAUACUGCCGCGGCUGGAGCACUGUAGAGGCAGGCGGAAUUCCGGGUGUAGCGGUGGAAUGCGUAGAGAUCCGGAAGACACCGGUGGCGAAGGCGGCCUGCUGGGCGAGUUCGCUGACACUGAGGCGCGACAGCGUGGGGAGCAACAGG
rnacentral:rRNA from 1 species